GCGGUGGUAGUUCAGCGGUAGAACGUCUCCUUGCCAAGGAGAAGGUCGCCGGUUCGAAUCCGGUCCACCGCUCCA
rnacentral:tRNA from 2 species